CCCUUAGAUGUCCUGGGCUGCACGCGCGCUACACUGGAAGUUACGGAUUGAGAUACUACCUUGUCCGAAAUGGUCCGGGUAAUCACCUAAAAGCUUGUCAUAAUUGGAAUGGAUUAUUGUAACUAGUAAUCCUGAACGAGGAAUUCCUAGUAAGUCCCAGUCAACAGCUGGUACUGAUUACGUCCCUGCCCUUUGUACCCACCGCCCGUCGCUACUACUGAUUGGACGUUUAAGCAAGAUUUUUAAACACUGACAGUGUGUAGUUCACGCUAUACUACAGUGAGAAGAAGAAGAUCGAGCUUACUUGUCUAGAGGAAGUAAAAGUCGUAACA
rnacentral:rRNA from 1 species